rnacentral:rRNA from 1 species
GUGGGGAAUAUUGGACAAUGGGCGCAAGCCUGAUCCAGCCAUGCCGCGUGAGUGAUGAAGGCCUUCGGGUUGUAAAGCUCUUUAGCCGAUGAUUAUAAUGACUGUAGUCGGAAAAUAAGCCCCGGCUAACUUCGUGCCAGCAGCCGCGGUAAUACGAAGGGGGCGAGCGUUAUUCGGAAUCACUGGGCGUAAAGCGUGCGUAGGCGGCUUUGCAAGUUGGGAGUGAAAGCCCAGGGCUCAACCCUGGAAUUGCUCUCAAAACUGCAAGGCUCGAAUUCGGGAGAGGAUAGCGGAAUUGUCAGUGUAGCAGUGAAAUGCGUAGAUAUUGACAGGAACACCAGUGGCGUAAGCGGCUAUCUGGACCGAUAUUGACGCUGAGGCACGAAAGCGUGGGGAUCAAACAGGAUUAGAUACCCGGGUAGUCC